rnacentral:rRNA from 1 species
AUGGCCUUCCUCCUCCCCAAGCUCACCACGCCGCCCUGCAGAUCGCCGCCGCCCAAAAUCGGCCUGCCGAGCCACGGCGCCGGCGGCAGGCUCCACUGCUCCGGCCCGGCGCAGGCCGCCGCGCCGGCCCACCUCAACCUCCCGCUCCUCCUCAGCGCCUCGCAGCAAGAGGCCCCCGCGGCCAAGUCCGCGGAGACCAGGAACCGGGCUGCGAGCGGCGGCGGCGGCGGCGGCGGGGACCCGCGAAGGUCGGAUUUUUACCUCAACCUUGGGGCGGCGGUGCGCGCGCUGCGGGACGACCUGCCGGCCGUGUUUCUCCGGGAGCCCAACUACGACAUCUACCGCGAAGACAUCACAUUUGUUGAUCCGUUGAACACUUUCCAUGGGAUCGACAACUACAAAACAAUCUUCUGGGCUCUCAGAUUCCACGGUCGUCUACUAUUCAGUGAAAUUGGGCUUGAUGUGUCACGCAUUUGGCAACUAACAGAAACCUCGAUAGUUGUCCGGUGGGAACUGUGGGGCACACCCCGUGUCCCGUGGGAAUCAUAUGGCUGCUUCAGUGGCACAUCCAGGUACAAAGUCGACAGGAACGGGAAAAUUUACGAGCAUAAAGUCGACAACUUGGCAUUGGACUUCCCCCGGCCGGCUGUCAAAGUGGGCAGCAUUACUAACUUAGUAGUUGCUGCAUACCCACCGAGCCCCAAUCCAACUUUCUGGGAUGUGGUUGGCACGGGCGAUGGAUGCUCAUGGACAAAGCUUUACCAAGCGGUGCUGGAGACAGUAGAGCGGGAAGGUGACAUUCCCGCGGGCGUUUGCAUGGAAGGUCUACUCACUUGUUCAUAG